AGUGAACGCUGGCGGUAGGCCUAACACAUGCAAGUCGAACGGCAGCACAGUAAGAGCUUGCUCUUACGGGUGGCGAGUGGCGGACGGGUGAGGAAUACAUCGGAAUCUACUUUUUCGUGGGGGAUAACGUAGGGAAACUUACGCUAAUACCGCAUACGACCUACGGUUGAAAGCAGGGGAUCUUCGGAUCUUGCGCGAUUGAAUGAGCCGAUGUCGGAUUAGCUAGUUGGCGGGGUAAAGGCCCACCAAGGCGACGAUCCGUAGCUGGUCUGAGAGGAUGAUCAGCCACACUGGAACUGAGACACGGUCCAGACUCCUACGGGAGGCAGCAGUGGGGAAUAUUGGACAAAGGGCGCAAGCCUGAUCCAGCCAUACCGCGUGGGUGAAGAAGGCCUUCGGGUUGUAAAGCCCUUUUGUUGGGAAAGAAAAGCAGCAGGUUAAUACCCCGCUGUUCUGACGGUACCCAAAGAAUAAGCACCGGCUAACUUCGUG
rnacentral:rRNA from 1 species